UUGGAGGGCAAGUCUGGUGCCAGCAGCCGCGGUAAUUCCAGCUCCAAUAGCGUAUAUUAAAGUUGUUGCAGUUAAAAAGCUCGUAGUUGAAUUUCGGGGUUCUACCGUUGGUCGGGCUUUGUCUGUACUGGUGUGUAGAAUUUCUACCUUCUGGGGAACCAUCAUGCUAUUAAUUUAGCGUGGUGGGAAACCAGGACCUUUACCUUGAAAAAAUUAGUGUGUUCAAAGCAGGCUUAUGUCUGAAUACAUUAGCGUGGAAUAAUAGAAUAGGACGGUGGUCCUGUUUUGUUGGUUUCUGAAUCACCGUAAUGAUUAAUAGGGAUAGUUGGGGGCAUUAGUAUUCAAUUGUCAGAGGUGAAAUUCUUGGAUUUAUUGAAGACUAACUUCUGCGAAAGCAUUUGCCAAGGAUGUUUUCAUUAAUCAAGAACGAAAGUUAGGGGAUCGAAGACAAUCAGAUACCGUCGUAGUCUUAACCAUAAACUAUGCCGACUAGGGAUCGGACGAUGUUAAUUUUUCUUGACUCGUUCGGCGCCUUACGGGAAAC
rnacentral:rRNA from 1 species